UUGUCUGGGGAGCUGUUACGGCUGAGAGGGACGAAAGAUGUCCGACCCAUGAACCUGAUUCGGAUAAUUCCGGCGUAGGAAGAUAGAUUU
rnacentral:ncRNA from 1 species